AAAAAUGACAUUGUAGAAAAGUUAACCGUGCCAAUCAAAAUUCAAAUAUUGUGUGAGAUAAUAUCAGCAAUGAAGUAUUUACACGGAAUCAGACCAAGAAAAGUUUUACAUUUGGAUUUGAAAAGCGACAAUGUACUGCUAGAUGAUAGUCUUCAUGCAAAAAUUUGUGAUUUCGGAUUGAGCACAAUGAGCACGUUAACUGAUCUUCGAUGCAGAUCCAUUAUAAUUGAAGGU